AGAUCUACAGAAAGACUUGCAAGAUUGUCAAAUGAGUACUGAGGAACAUAGUCAAGCAAUAUCAGAGAGAAAUCAUGAGCUCUUCUCCCAUGAGGCAUGUGAACCAAGACCUUGUGGACUUCUAAUUCGAUUGGCAGAGAUGAGUAUGGCAGUGUUUGCUCGCUGCUUUUGUUGUUAGAAUGAUCGAGAAACUUGCUAAGGAAGCAAUUCGUAGGUAAGCAAACUCAGCUGAUCUUCAUUACAAUGCCUUUUCUCUUUUCCCGGUUCUUCUCGUCUUCUUUUCUCAAUAACACGCUGUUAGUUGCCCAUAUAUUUCCAUGGAGGUAUUUUAUGUGUCCACUUCAACUGGUGCUGACUUUGCCAGCAACAAUAAAAGAAAUGACCAGCCUUUGUAGAGAGAGCUCGAUAAGGAGAGAGGAGCUCGACCUGCUUCUCGACUUCAUGUCGAGAAAAUGAGUUCGAAGGUUGUGGCUGGAGAGUCGGAUGAGGGGGGCUUGGGAUGUGCAUUGAAUACAACUUCCAUGGAGUACAGAGGACGAAGGCAUCUGAGAAGAUAGAACGCUCUCCAAAAAGGAAGGAGCUUUUCAAACUCCACCGAACACCGCUUUCGACGUCACGACUCCUCCCUCAUCUUUCCAUCCCACACUGCCGAGCUCUGACGACAUGGAAGAUCGCCGCCACCUGCCGACGAAGGCGACGAGCAGAAGAAGAAGAAGAAGAAGUUCGUCUUCCGGAAACAGAGUCCCCGGCGAACCGACGGCGGCGGAGACCGGCCAGCGGAGGCGACGGGCUACCACCGCCGAACGAAGCCAUGGAAACUGGUGACGUGGCUUCGGGUGAACGAUUCUCUCCCUGAGGUUCGUUCUGGGCUUCAUGCGGCUUGCUAUAGAUCAGGUAAUGCUUGGCACAUCCGAAUUUUAUUUAGGUUGAUGUAAUACUUGAGCUGGAUUUUGAAUUGGAUUCGUUGGGUGCUACAAUUGCGCGGGAACAUGAAGAAUGUGUAGUUGAAUCUGUUCGAGAGACGUUGAAUGAGUGUUCUUUCGUAAGUUCAGUCUGUGGAUGCUUGGUAGUGAAUUCAUAGGUUAUCGACGUUACGCGCUGCAAAAUUAGCGACAAUCUCUGGAAGAUAUGCAGCGGGUGAUAGGUUUGCUAGGAGAAUUGAAUUCUGAGAAACUUUGAUCACUGGGAUAGGGCUCUGUCUCUAUGUUUUAUGAGGGGCUCCAAGAGGCAAAACCAUAGAGGAAUGAAGAAGAUGCAAUGAGAUGGCAAGCCACCAGGAAAGGUUGCUUGACAGUCGAGUCCUUUAACCAAUUCUUGACUUUGGCAACUAGGGAGAAUUGAAAACCAAAUUUACUUGGAGUGUGAGCAUAAUAUGAACAUCGGUUGUGCCCAUGGAUAACUGGUUAGGUGGUUAUU